rnacentral:lncRNA from 1 species
UUAACUCUUGAUUGGAAAAUAUGAUAGAGUUGCCAGAUAAAAUAUAUUUAGGAUAUUUUCACAUUAAAAUGUUAUUUAUUAUUUUUCUGAAAUUCAAAUUUUACUCGUCCUCUUGUAUUUUUAUAUUCUAUUUGUUUGCUAAAUCUGGAAACCUAAAAAGUGGACUCUUUUUUCUUUAACCACACAAACUAGGACUGUGACCAAAGAGAGAUACUGAAACCAGAACGUUCUUCUGCAAUUGAUAUUCACAACUAACUGACUAAACAUUCUGGUCGAGGAUGAGCAGUGAUUUGGUAUCUAGUACAGAUGUGUAUGGUGUGAUGCCAACCAGCCCCUGGCCAGUCUCUGUGAGCCUAGAAGCAUACAUACUUAAGGGAGUGCAGGUCUUGCCCUGCGACCUGCAGCAGCACACUCCGCCUCCCCCACCUCUUUCCCCUCCCUCUGGUCCUCCUUUCUCCAUCUGUCCCUUAGGGCUUAGGAGCUGAGCCCAAGGCUUCUGUAGGUUAUCACCAUCCCUGGGCUGCCUUCUUCCUCCUGAGAGGGGGCAGGGCAGGAUGAGAAAUGACCUCCAUUUAGCUAAAUUCAGGAGUGAGAUGACAUCCAUGUCACUAUCUUUUGCUUUUUAUGGAAAAAAUAUCUCUUUAGGCAAAUUUCUUACAUAGUUGCUUAAUCUUGUCUAAAAUGUGCUUUAUUUAAGAGUUUCACUCUCAGAGGAGGAUUUUGUUCUUCAAUUGUGGAGUGAUCUCUAUCACCAGUGACUAAAGCAGAUGUUGGAGCACAGAGAGCCAUACCCCAAAAUAUGAUGCUUCGGCAUGCUGACUGCUUUGAAAAUUGAAAGGCCUCAGAAAUAAUCCUCAGUGCCAGGGUCUCCCUCUGACCUCCCCCUACCUCCCUUUCUCUCUGAUCCUGUCUCUCCCAAAGCACAGAAUGAAGCUGUUCUCUGAAUUCCCUUAUCUACCUAGAAACUGGACCCCCAAAGAGGAACACAAUUUGCCUUUGAUCCCUUCCCUGAAAUUUCAUUAACCAGAGAAAAUUAAAACUUCUAUCACAAAGGAAGAGACUGAACAUUAAACACCAUAGCUACAGCCCAGACAAACUUCUUCCCAAACCAUUGUUUGUUCUCCUGCCUGUUAAAUUGCCAGAGAAUCAUUCACAAGAUAAAGUCUGCCUUCUGGGUCCAUUCAUUCCCCACUAAAAAUCUUUUACUCCUACACCCUCAUGUCUCCUUCCUCCAUGAAGAAGGGUCUAUAAACCUCUAGGCCUCAUUGGGUUAUUGGGUAAUCAUUCUCAUGCAGUUCCCCUGUGCUCUGCAUGUUAAAUAAAUUUGUAUGCCUUUUUCUCCUACCUGCCUUUUGUCAUUUUCAGUGAACCUUCAGAAGGUAAAGGCAGAAGCUUUCCUUCUUUGCCCCUAUAGUGUCAACAACAGCCAGCCAGGCAAAGGGUUUCAGAAACCCAAGUGGGAUUAAGAUGAUUAGCCACAUGGCUCUAUUCUACAAACUAGUGGUCAGAAUAACAAGCGUUUGCUUAUUAGGAGGUCGAGGUGGGAGAA